UUGUGUGUAAAAGUAAAAGUGUUAGUAUUUUUAUACUGGCGUCAGCAACAACAACACAAAUGCAAAUUGGACAUCUGGAUGGAUACUCCUCCUAGUGAUGAUGCUGAUUGCUUUGGAAAUAUUUGUUCAAAACAGUCUGUCGCUGUUAUCAGGAUUGGUGGUGUGCGGUUCAGGGCUUUGGUCUGCUAGAAUCAGCCGAUUUCAAGUGCGCGGUCGGCAACAUGUGAGCCGAAAUUUGCGCCACCUCAUUAUUUACGUAAUUGAAGUUGAUAAGUCGAUUCUUUACUGAACAUAAGUGUGUAUUGAAACUGGAGGAGCAUGAUAACGUAUUCUGGUUUGGAGGCUGGACUUAAGCCGGUUUGAAGAUGACCUCUAACACGAUGACUUGGCACUUUGUGCCAAAUUUAAAUUUAAUUGGAGCAUAAAUAAUCUGGUUUAGUAAGUUAUUCCCAGAUUCCUUGGUGGAAGCCAGUUGGCCAACACAUGCACAACCUUCCUUGCCACGAAGCCGACCCGUAACGACUUCCCCAAAACUGGUAUUCUCCACUUCUUCUUACAUAACACCACCCAACAAAAAAGUAAUCCCCAGCACCUUACCUUGGCCAUCAGAUUGCUGGCCAUUGGUCCGCCCAUGUUACCAAGCCCAAUAAAACCGAUGUUCUUGGGACCGGUCGAGAAGGAACGGGCCAGCAGCUCCCCGAGAAGGGUGGCCUGCUUCAGGCUGUUGGUCGACAUCACACGGAAGGCCAUUUUGCACUUAUCACUCUGGCACCACACUGCUGGAGGUAAUACUAUAGAAUCCCGGCUGCCUUGCCCACGCCGUUCGAACGAUAUUUGCAGACUGAACUCGGCGAUACAGUCGCGCGAAAAAAUAUGGAGGAUCUGUUUGUCAGGCGGUCGGUCGCGCGGUCGAGUACGCACACCACUUUGUUGCGCCGGGCAGAAACUUUUCGGGAUCGACCGGCGAACGAGAAUUGAUAAUGAAGGAAUAUAUGUGUAUAUUUUUAUUUUGAAAACUGUCGAACGCACGGUGGAAGGCUCGACUGACACUAGUUUCGGGUGUGUUGGUUGUUGGAACUAACUAAUACAGCUUGAAGCGUCUCCAAAUGUUACGAACGUUUGAUUAAUUUCAAUUGAUUUAAUUUGUUCAACUUCAAACUAAAAUUCUGGGUUUUUAUUUCAAUGUUUUCACAUUACUUCAUUGGUUUCAACAUUACAUGAAAACGAUCUUCUCACUCAAUUGUGCCAAUAGGUCACGGCAUUCUCUGUGUGCAGCUUGAUAUCUAUGAUUACAACUAGAGCCCUUCCGCUUCGGGAAUUGAACUUACGACCCUUGGAACGCAAUUCCAGUGCGCUGCUAUUGAGACAUCUAAUGAAGAAACGUCGCAAUUUCUUGUUAAUCUAAGAGUUGAAAAUUAUAUAACUCAUAUUGUUUCACAA